rnacentral:tRNA from 1 species
GCCGGAGUAGCUCAGUCGGUAGAGCAGCGCAUUCGUAAUGCGAAGGUCGGUGGUUCGAUUCCUCUCUCCGGCACCA